rnacentral:rRNA from 1 species
GACGAACCGUGCGAACGUUGUUCGGAUUCACUGGGCUUAAAGGGCGCGUAGGCGGGUUACCAAGUCAGGGGUGAAAUCUUUCGGCUCAACCGGAAAAGUGCCCCUGAUACUGGUAGUCUUGAGGGAGGUAGGGGCAUGUGGAACUUCCGGUGGAGCGGUGAAAUGCGUAGAUAUCGGAAGGAACGCCGGUGGCGAAAGCGACGUGCUGGAUCUCUUCUGACGCUGAGGCGCGAAAGCUAGGGGAGCGAACGGG